AAGACAUUGUCCUUGGUCUUGGUUUCGAUGCGGACAUCGAGAGAGCUGAUUCUGGUGGAAAGGAUGCCGGCCAGACACUGACCGGCCAAGGGGUUAAAGAAAUGGAGUCCGGGCUCAGCCAAUUUCUCGAAGCGGCCCCACCUUUCGACGAUGCCUAUGUUGGCCUGGUCUACGCAUCCACAUAACAAACACCAGGAGUUGCCCAUUUCGAUUGAUCAGAAUUUCUCUCUCUCCAAUUCCCUGCGCUGCGAAGAAAGAUUCAAGUAGAAGCGAAUUGAAGGGACUGAAGCGACGCCGAUAUUCGCA
rnacentral:misc_RNA from 1 species